UGAGGUCACUACCGCGUUUCCUCUCAAGGUAGGCAGAAAGGGCAGCUUAGAAGCUCGCAGCAAACUGCAGAGUAAGUGCAGCGCAGUAAGAGUUUUCCUAUUUAGAUAAAUGUCAAUUCUGUGAUGUUAGGCACUGCACGGUCCUUGCAGAAAUGCAGUUUCCACCCUACGUGGAAGAGUACAACGAGGAAGCCAAGAGGUUUUGCUUAGCUUUGAGGCAAAGAUGUAUAAAGACUGUUUACGAAUGAAAUAUUCAUGUGUUCCAGGGUGUUUUUCAGUUUCUUGAACAUCCGGCUUGAGCUUGAUCUUUAGAAAUGUCUUCAACUACCACCGCAUGGCAAGCCAGGCCUUCAAGACCUCAAAGCUAUGUUGAAUAUAAAGUCAAAGUAUUGGUGACACUGAACCAAUGCCAAAAUGACUGAUACAGACCCCCCUUUUCUGUCUAGAAUCAGUGUUUACUUACAGAAAAGUGUCAACAAAAAAAGAUAAAACCCAGCCAUGCUGACAGGUUUGCUGUGGGGAAGGAGGCUAUCUCCAUGCUGCUCCCAGUGUGCUCACCACACAGUUUCAGUUUGGGCUCCUGCAGGAAGCAGGGGGGAGGAAAGAGAAACAGUGGCUCCCCUGUAUCCAAAGCAGAGAAAACUCAGUAGACGUAACCAAGUAACCUUGUAUUUGUGUGUCCGUUUCCCAUUAUUCUGGCAGCUGAAUAUUGCAAAGGAGAGGUUUUAGCUCUUCUCAUACAUGGCAAACAGUUACCAGGUUUCUCUUGGCUCUGUCUUCAGUCAUGUUCACUGGCAGAAAGCACUAUUAGCUUGGAACAAAUCUCUCAAGGAGAAAGAUGUAUUUUUCUAGGCAUUCCGCCCAGAAUGAGACAAUUCAUUUUGCAUGUCACUGUGAAUGACACACAACCUUUAAAAAAGGUUUAAAAAGCCCUCUCUGAUGCACUCCCCUACUCUGUAGAAGAGGCUCUCUUCAUCGCUGCCUGUGAAUGCCAACAAACAGCCAUCCUACCUGCCAGGAGGGCCAUUGUUUUGACAGGUAUCAAUGGACUUCCCAGAGGGCAGGAUCAGCUUCAUGCUCAGCCUCACCUCCAUCCAAAGUGUCUAUUGGUCAACAAUGAGAAAGUGACUAGCUGAAUAUUUGGAUCUGUGCAAGAUGGAC